CGGUAAUUCCAGCUCCAAUAGCGUAUACUAAAGUUGUUGCAGUUAAAAAGCUCGUAGUUGGAUUUCUGCGGGGACGGAGCGGCCGGACGCAACUUGCGUCUCGAGCUAACGCUUUCCCCGCAUCCUGCCGCGAACCGUGCUACCAUUAGCUUGGUGGCGCUGGGGAUCGGCUCGAUUACUUUGAGAAAAAUAGAGUGUUCAAAGCAGGCCACACGCCUUGAAUAAGUUAGCAUGGAAUAAUGACUAAGGACUUCGGUUCUAUUUUGUUGGUGUUCGGGACUGAAGUAAUGAUUGAUAGGGACAGUUGGGGCGGUCUGUAUUCCAAAGCGAGAGGUGAAAUUCUUAGACCUUCAGAAGACAAGCAGCUGCGAAAGCGUUCCACAAGGAUGUUCCCUUUGAUCAAGAACGAAAGUUGGAGGAUCGAAGACGAUCAGAUACCGUCGUAGUCUCAACUAUAAACUAUACCAACUAGGGAUCGGUCAACGUUUAAUCAUUCGACUUGAUCAACACCUUAUGAGAAAUCAAAGCAUCUGGGUUCCGGGGGGAGUAUGAUCGCAAGGCUGAAACUUAAAGGAAUUGACGGAAGGGCACCACCAGCCGUGGAGCCUGUGGCUUAAUUUGACUCAACACGGGAAAACUUACCAGGUCCAGGCAUAGUAAGGAUUGACAGAUUGAUAGCUCUUUCUUGAUUCUGUGGGUGGUGGUGCAUGGCCGUUCUUAGUCGGUGGAGUGAUUUGUCUGGUUAAUUCCGUUAACGAACGAGACCCCAGCCUGCUAAAUAGCGCGGCUGAGCUUUGCUCGGUGCGAGCCUCUUAGAGGGACUAUGAUGCGCGAUAGCACAUGGAAGUUUGGGGCAAUAACAGGUCUGUGAUGCCCUUAGAUGUUCUGGGCCGCACACGGGCUACACUGGCGCCUGCAACGAGCAUAUCAGCUGGCCCGAGAGGGUCUUGGCUAAUCUUUUGAACCGGCGCCGUGCUUGGGAUUGACCAUUGCAAUUGUUGGUCAUGCAACGAGGAAUGCCUUGUAAACGCGAGUCAUCAGCUCGCAUUGAAUACGUCCCUGCCCUUUGUACACACCGCCCGUCGCUCCUACCGAUGAAUGUUCCGAUGAAAUUUUCGGAGAGCGCCAGAGAACGGGGCUCCGCCUUGCAGAUCUGGAGGCUCAAAGUCACUUAAAUCUGAACAUUUCGAGGAAGGAGAAGUCGUAACAAGGUAACC
rnacentral:rRNA from 1 species